rnacentral:tRNA from 1 species
AUUUUAAUAGAUUAAUUAUUAAAUCAUUAUUUUGUGGAAAUAAAAACACUUUAAAGUUUAAAAUA